rnacentral:rRNA from 1 species
UACGGAGGGGGCUAGCGUUGUCCGGAUUUAUUGGGCGUAAAGAGCGUGUAGGCGGCUUUACAGGUCCGUUGUGAAAACUCGAGGCUCAACCUCGAGACGCCGGUGGAAACCGUAAAGCUAGAGUCCGGAAGAGGAGAGUGGAAUUCCUGGUGUAGCGGUGAAAUGCGUAGAUAUCAGGAGGAACACCGGUGGCGAAAGCGCGAUACUGGGCCAUAACUGACGCUGAGGAACGAAAGCCAGGGGAGCGAAAGGG